rnacentral:rRNA from 1 species
AGUGAACGCUGGCGGUAGGCCUAACACAUGCAAGUCGAACGGCAGCACAGUAAGAGCUUGCUCUUACGGGUGGCGAGUGGCGGACGGGUGAGGAAUACAUCGGAAUCUACUUUUUCGGGGGGGAUAACGUAGGGAAACUUACGCUAAUACCGCAUACGACCUUCGGGUGAAAGCAGGGGAUCUUCGGACCUUGCGCGAUUGAAUGAGCCGAUGUCGGAUUAGCUAGUUGGCGGGGUAAAGGCCCACCAAGGCGACGAUCCGUAGCUGGUCUGAGAGGAUGAUCAGCCACACUGGAACUGAGACACGGUCCAGACUCCUACGGGAGGCAGCAGUGGGGAAUAUUGGACAAUGGGCGCAAGCCUGAUCCAGCCAUACCGCGUGGGUGAAGAAGGCCUUCGGGUUGUAAAGCCCUUUUGUUGGGAAAGAAAAGCAGCAGGUUAAUACCCCGCUGUUCCGACGGUACCCAAAGAAUAAGCACCGGCUAACUUCGUG